AGAGACAUGGAUCGAUAUCAGCCUUAACACUGAUGUCCACCUGUGACAGACAGCGACAGAUAGAUAAUCAUACAGUAUCACCAAAGAUAGAACAAUGAACCAGAUAUUUCAAAGGGUGAAUGUGAAGCAUCCGAUUGGCGUUUCCACUCACUACCAAAUAUGGUAGUGAGAGGAAGCUCAUUGGCCAGCAGUGGAAGAAGAUGGAGCGCGAUUGAUUUUGGCCGACAUUCUGCUAAUUUUCUCAUUGCUGAAACAUUUGAUCUCAAUAAAGUUUUCUGUUCCCAAAACUAUAAUUUGUUACGAACAGUGGACUAAGUUUUGUAGACUUUGCCAAAGUUUCUAAAAAUGUGCGUUGUUUAGAAGGAGUGCAAGGGUGGAUGGAGUUAUUGCACAUGCACACUUCACAGAGUAGGCGUUCUAUAAUGGUAAUAUGCAAAUACAUGCUAGAAUGAGCCAAUGGGAUCUUGCUAGCUUGUGCAUUGUCAGCAACCAAUGGAGUUGGCCACUACAGAACACACAGGUCUGUGAUCAGGCUAGUAAAUACAUACCAGGCCCAGUGGACAGAUCUGUGAUCAGUCUAGUAAAUACAUACCAGGCCCAGUGGACAGAUCUGAAACCAGUCUAGUAAAUACAUACCAGGCCCAGUGGACAAGUCUGGGAUCAGUCUUGUAAAUACCUUCCAGGCCCAGUGGACAAGUCUGGGAUCAGUCUAGUAAAUACAUACCAGGCCCAGUGGACAAGUCUGGGAUCAGUCUAGUAAAUACAUACCAGGCCCAGUGGACAGGUCUGGGAUCAGUCUAGUAAAUACAUACCAGGCCCAGUGGACAAGUCUGGGAUCAGUCUCGUAAAUACAUACCAGGCCCAGUGGACAGAUCUGAAACAAGGCUAGUAAAUACAUACCAGGCCCAGUGGACAGGUCUGGGAUCAGUCUAGUAAAUACAUACCAGGCCCAGUGGACAGGUCUGGAACCAGUGGACAGGUCUGGAACCAGGCUAGUAAAUACAUACCAGGCCCAGUGGACAGGUCUGGAACCAGUGGACAGGUCUGGAACCAGUCUAGUAAAUACAUACCAGGCCCAGUGGACAGGUCUGGAACCAGUCUAGUAAAUACAAACCAGGCCCAGUGGACAGGUCUGGAACCAGUGGACAGGUCUGGAACCAGGCUAGUAAAUACAUACCAGGCCCAGUGGACAAGUCUGGGAUCAGUCUAGUAAAUACAUACCAGGCCCAGUGGACAGAUCUGAAACAAGGCUAGUAAAUACAUACCAGGCCCAGUGGACAGGUCUGGGAUCAGUCUAGUAAAUACAUACCAGGCCCAGUGGACAGGUCUGGAACCAGUGGACAGGUCUGGAACCAGGCUAGUAAAUACAUACCAGGCCCAGUGGACAGGUCUGGAACCAGUGGACAGGUCUGGAACCAGGCUAGUAAAUACAUACCAGGUCCAGUGGACAGGUCUGGAACCAGUGGACAGGUCUGGAACCAGUCUAGUAAAUACAAACCAGGCCCAGUGGACAGAUCUGAAACCAGUCUAGUAAAUACAUACCAGGCCCAGUGGACAAGUCUGGGAUCAGUCUCGUAAAUACAUACCAGGCCCAGUGGACAAGUCUGGGAUCAGUCUCGUAAAUACAUACCAGGCCCAGUGGACAGGUCUGAAACAAGGCUAGUAAAUACAUACCAGGCCCAGUGAACAGGUCUGGGAUCAGUCUAGUAAAUACAUACCAGGCCCAGUGGACAGGUCUGGAACCAGGCUAGUAAAUACAUACCAGGCCCAGUGGACAGGUCUGGAACCAGUGGACAGGUCUGGAACCAGGCUAGUAAAUACAUACCAGGCCCAGUAGACAGGUCUGGAACCAGUGGACAGGUCUGGAACCAGGCUAGUAAAUACAUACCAGGCCCAGUGGACAGGUCUGGAACCAGUGGACAGGUCUGGAACCAGGCUAGUAAAUACCUACCAGGCCCAGUGGACAGGUCUGGGAUCAGUCUAGUAAAUACCUUCCAGGCCCAGUGGACAAGUCUGGGAUCAGGCUAGUAAAUACAUACCAGGCCCAGUGGACAGGUCUGGAACCAGUGGACAGGUCUGGAACCAGUGGACAGGUCUGGAACCAGUGGACAGGUCUGGAACCAGGCUAGUAAAUACAUACCAGGCCCAUUGGACAGGUCUGGAACCAGUGGACAGGUCUAGGAUCAGUCUAGUAAAUACCUUCCAGGCCCAGUGGACAAGUCUGGGAUCAGUCUAGUAAAUACAUACCAGGCCCAGUGGACAGAUCUGAAACCAGUCUAGUAAAUACAUACCAGGCCCAGUGGACAGAUCUGAAACCAGUCUCGUAAAUACAUACCAGGCCCAGUGGACAGAUCUGAAACAAGGCUAGUAAAUACAUACCAGGCCCAGUGAACAGGUCUGGGAUCAGUCUAGUAAAUACAUACCAGGCCCAGUGGACAGGUCUGGGAUCAGUCUAGUAAAUACAUACCAGGCCCAGUGGACAGGUCUGGGAUCAGUCUAGUAAAUACAUACCAGGCCCAGUGGACAGAUCUGGGACCAGUCUAGUAAAUACAUACCAGGCCCAGUGGACAGAUCUGGGACCAGUCUAGUAAAUACAUACCAGGCCCAGUGGACAGAUCUGGGACCAGUCUAGUAAAUACAUACCAGGCCCAGUGGACAGAUCUGGGACCAGUCUAGUAAAUACAUACCAGGCCCAGUGGACAGAUCUGGGACCAGUCUAGUAAAUACAUACCAGGCCCAGUGGACAGGUCUGGAACCAGUGGACAGGUCUGGGAUCAGUCUAGUAAAUACAUACCAGGCCCAGUGGACAGAUCUGGGACCAGUCUAGUAAAUACAUACCAGGCCCAGUGGACAGAUCUGGGACCAGUCUAGUAAAUACAUACCAGGCCCAGUGGACAGAUCUGGGACCAGUCUAGUAAAUACAUACCAGGCCCAGUGGACAGAUCUGGGACCAGUCUAGUAAAUACAUACCAGGCCCAGUGGACAGAUCUGGGACCAGUCUAGUAAAUACAUACCAGGCCCAGUGGACAGGUCUGGAACCAGUGGACAGGUCUGGGA